CUAGCGGGAGGCUUAACACAUGCAAGUCGAGGGGUAACGUGGUUUACGGACUGAUGACGACCGGCGCACGGGUGCGUAACGCGUAUGCAACCUUCCUUAUGCAGGAGGAUAGCCCAUGGAAACGUGGAUUAAUACUCCAUACUAUUAGUAUUAUGCAUGUAAUAUUAAUAAAAACUACGGUGGCAUAAGAUGGGCAUGCGUCUGAUUAGUUAGUUGGUGAGGUAACGGCUCACCAAGGCGACGAUCAGUAGGGGUUCUGAGAGGAUUAUCCCCCACACUGGUACUGAGACACGGACCAGACUCCUACGGGAGGCAGCAGUGAGGAAUAUUGGUCAAUGGGUGAGAGCCUGAACCAGCCAUCCCGCGUGCAGGAUGACGGCCCUAUGGGUUGUAAACUGCUUUUCUACGCCAAGAAAGGUCCCUACGUGUAGGGAAUUGACGGUAGCGUAGGAAUAAGCAUCGGCUAACUCCGUGCCAGCAGCCGCGGUAAUACGGAGGAUGCAAGCGUUAUCCGGAUUUAUUGGGUUUAAAGGGUGCGCAGGCGGGUUUUUAAGUCAGUGGUGAAAUACUGCCGCUUAACGGUAGAAUUGCCAUUGAAACUAGGAAUCUUGAGUGUGGUUGAGGUAGGCGGAAUGUGUAGUGUAGCGGUGAAAUGCAUAGAUAUUACA
rnacentral:rRNA from 1 species